rnacentral:rRNA from 1 species
GAUGAACGCUGGCGGCGUGCCUAAUACAUGCAAGUCGAGCGAACGGACGAGAAGCUUGCUUCUCUGAUGUUAGCGGCGGACGGGUGAGUAACACGUGGAUAACCUACCUAUAAGACUGGGAUAACUUCGGGAAACCGGAGCUAAUACCGGAUAAUAUUUUGAACCGCAUGGUUCAAAAGUGAAAGACGGUCUUGCUGUCACUUAUAGAUGGAUCCGCGCUGCAUUAGCUAGUUGGUAAGGUAACGGCUUACCAAGGCAACGAUGCAUAGCCGACCUGAGAGGGUGAUCGGCCACACUGGAACUGAGACACGGUCCAGACUCCUACGGGAGGCAGCAGUAGGGAAUCUUCCGCAAUGGGCGAAAGCCUGACGGAGCAACGCCGCGUGAGUGAUGAAGGUCUUCGGAUCGUAAAACUCUGUUAUUAGGGAAGAACAUAUGUGUAAGUAACUGUGCACAUCUUGACGGUACCUAAUCAGAAAGCCACGGCUAACUACGUGCCAGCAGCCGCGGUAAUACGUAGGUGGCAAGCGUUAUCCGGAAUUAUUGGGCGUAAAGCGCGCGUAGGCGGUUUUUUAAGUCUGAUGUGAAAGCCCACGGCUCAACCGUGGAGGGUCAUUGGAAACUGGAAAACUUGAGUGCAGAAGAGGAAAGUGGAAUUCCAUGUGUAGCGGUGAAAUGCGCAGAGAUAUGGAGGAACACCAGUGGCGAAGGCGACUUUCUGGUCUGUAACUGACGCUGAUGUGCGAAAGCGUGGGGAUCAAACAGGAUUAGAUACCCUGGUAGUCCACGCCGUAAACGAUGAGUGCUAAGUGUUAGGGGGUUUCCGCCCCUUAGUGCUGCAGCUAACGCAUUAAGCACUCCGCCUGGGGAGUACGAUCGCAAGGUUGAAACUCAAAGGAAUUGACGGGGACCCGCACAAGCGGUGGAGCAUGUGGUUUAAUUCGAGGCAACGCGAAGAACCUUACCAAAUCUUGACAUCCUUUGACAACUCUAGAGAUAGAGCCUUCCCCUUCGGGGGACAAAGUGACAGGUGGUGCAUGGUUGUCGUCAGCUCGUGUCGUGAGAUGUUGGGUUAAGUCCCGCAACGAGCGCAACCCUUAAGCUUAGUUGCCAUCAUUAAGUUGGGCACUCUAAGUUGACUGCCGGUGACAAACCGGAGGAAGGUGGGGAUGACGUCAAAUCAUCAUGCCCCUUAUGAUUUGGGCUACACACGUGCUACAAUGGACAAUACAAAGGGCAGCGAAACCGCGAGGUCAAGCAAAUCCCAUAAAGUUGUUCUCAGUUCGGAUUGUAGUCUGCAACUCGACUACAUGAAGCUGGAAUCGCUAGUAAUCGUAGAUCAGCAUGCUACGGUGAAUACGUUCCCGGGUCU